AUUGUAUUAGUAUUUUACAAUUUGGCUGCCAUCAAAUAAAUGCAGCCUUGGUGCGUGAGAGACGUGUGUAUAUAUACUGUAUAUAUUCUUCUGUGAGUGAAAAAAUGAAAGCUUUUGUAUUCAGGUACAGAAUGUGUUCUGGGGAUAAUCCACUUUGUUCUGUGAUCCUGUGUGGUGUGUGACUGUGAAAACAGUCACGGUUUGUUUGAAUCUCUCGGGACAGGAGCCAGCAGGCAGGUUGUGCUGGUUUAGGCAGAAGUUUAUGCAUCACUGCAGUAGUCAGAGGUCAGUGUUUGAGCGCUUUUUACAGAUCUGUGUCGUUACAGUAAUUACAAUCACUGCAGGUCUCAAGCACACUAGGAACUCUGCUUAGGGAAGCGAACCGGACAAGAUGUGAGAAACAUGAAAUUUACAAUCAGCACAACUGAUAUUUUGGCUAAACUGCAAAUCAGACUUCCUAUGGCUCUCUCCCUUUCUCUAUAAUCUUUCUCUCUGCUCUGGUGAUGUUGGAUGGUGUGUUAACGGAAUUUAAGAGAUUAGUUUGCGUUAACGGCUUAGUGUAAGCUAAGAUGCAACACUUCCCCUUUCUUUCCAUCUGUCUCUCUGCAGGAAAACAGGUUCUGGAAAAUAGCAUUUAAAGAAUACAGUUCCUAAUGCAAAUUGUUUUUCUGUAUUAUUCACAUAAUUAUGACUUCUACAAUAUGAGACAACAGAACAAAAAAACGCUGAUUAGAAAAUGAGUGGGAGUUUCAUCAGAAGAAGAGAACUGAAGAUAUAUAGACAACUUCUGUACUGGAGAAGAAUUUCCGCCAUUAAAACAAUAGGAGAGUAGGAAAUGUUCUGCUGCUGUUUCUGGGGUCCUUGCAAGAGGUGUUCACUCAAGUGCCUUUAACUGCAUUUACUGAAAUAACCACAGUGGAGGAAGACCUAGGAAGCGGUCUGUUGGAAGGUGUAAAGGCAGACACCAGGAGCUCAAGAGCGACAACUGUGGUCUGUCCAUGCAGUGGAAUUCAUUGGCAACCAAAAUAGUUACCGGCAUACUUGUGUGAACUGCAACUUUUUAUGCGUUUCAUGAGUUUUGUCUCAUGUUUAAUCUUCUGUCAUUUUCUUUUCCCUAGUGAAUUGUGGAAAGCCUGAUGUGGACUUUAAUGGGAUGGUGUAUGGGAGUGAUUGGUGGGUGGGUUCUGUAGUGUGAUACAACUGCAGGCCAGGGUUCGUGUUGGUGGGAGAUCCUGCCCGAGCCUCUCAGUCCAAUGGGAAAUGGAUGCCCAAACUGUCCUGUCUCAGUUAGUCCUGGUCUGGCUGGACGUUGCACACAAAUUAUGCAAUUGCCCAAAAAGUGCACACAAAACUGAGACUUAAUCUGUCUUAAGUCUCAUAUAUGUAUAGUAUAUGAGAGACAGAACACUAACUAGAGUUGUUAUUGUCAGUACUGUUACUUUGAGAGGUGUUAAAAAUAAUUCUUCAAAGUUACCACACACUGUAAGAAAAAAAAUCCAUAGAAAAAUGGAAAAGGUACUGGAAAUAUUCUGUCAGGACUUUAUCUGCACUCCCUGCAGUAAGUUUUUAUAGAGUCAUUUAAAUUGUGGCUAGUUGAAACAAGUGGCAAAUACUGUAACUGCAGUAAAUCAAUGAUUUUGUUUGUUCCCUCAGCCUCUACAUGAUAGAAAACAGUGAAUCUGUAUUCAUUUUCCUUUUCUACAAAAGCCUAAACAUUCGGAAAUGCUUCUGUUUUUCCCUUAUGUGUGUAUGGUAGUACAGAGAUGACCUCGUAAUGUUGUUACCCUCUGAGCAUAAGCCAGGUGAAGAGGGAGCUCUAUGAGUGCUGAAUAUACAUUUGAUUGUAUCUAGUUAGUUAGUCACAAUUGUGGAAAGUAAAGAGACACAUUUCAGUUCCAUAAGUGAUUUUAUUAGAACAUUAUGCUUCUGCAGAUACAACGGAAUUAUAAGUUUAUUCAUUCACUUCAUGAUUGAUACAAGAUUAAUGUAUGGUAUUAAUAUAGUUAUAUAAUAAGAGUUGAAUCAGCAUGAGAGAGGUCUCAUUUAUAACCAUAAAUGUGAAAGCAGAAAAAUCUCCUUUUAGUCCCAAGAGGUGAAAUUCAUGAUGAAAUUCUCAUUUUUCUUGGGUUGGUAGCAGCCAAUUCCUGUAAAAGAUUGAGGGAAAAAAAUAAUAUCUUUUAUAUUUGUGUUGUAAAUAAAGUGAAACCAAAAUACUAAGAAAACUGUCUUGCUCCAAUAUAUUUGCACACAUAUUCAGACAUAAAGUCUGUUAUAUAAUUAAACUGAUACACUUACCCACGUUCAGUCGAGUUAUAGUGUUUCCUUUCUUCGACAGAAGCUCCCAGUAUGUGUGGUUUUCAGUAGAUCCAGCCAGUCCGUUCACGCUCUGCAGAUAUAUGCCAUAGCUUUUGCUAAUGGUGUAGGUGAAGCUAAAAGAAAUACAUGUAGCAAUAUUAGCACAAAAAAAUGAAAUUAGCACUACAACAGUUCCUUAUAGCCCUGAACCUUGUACAAUAUACCGACAUGGUAAAAGAUGCCCUAUUUCCCCUUAACCUAUUGACCUACUAUACUAUGCUUGUUUUACGCCCUGUAAAGUACAUGAAACCAGAAUAAUUUGAUAAAAUUUUGUGCCAUACUUGAAGUUGUUGUUCGUGUCUUGUAGUUGAUUUAAGAUCCCAAACAUCGGCAUUCCCACUGUCGCAAUUGUUGAGUAGGAGAUGUUUGUGUUAUUAAAUCUGUUAAUGACAGUCACCCUAAUGGGGGUCGGUCUCUGCUUUCCUGUUAAGAAGAGAAAUUUUGUGCAAGAGAGUCUCAGAGAAUCCUAUUAAAUCAUACUUUUCAAAUGUUAUUUAGGAUGUUAGACCUAAAAGGAUUUGAAUUCAAUCAUGUUUCUCCUCGUUUGAAGCAGAAAUCAUGGUUUUAUAGAGCAAAACUCACCUGAGUGCUCAUCACUUCCCCCCAGCCCUGGGAAAGGCAGCAAGGCUGCAAAGCACAGAAGACUUAUCGCUGUCAGAGCCAUUCUAUCAGUCUGCCCAGUGUGUCUGAAUGUCUCUCACAACCGCACACCCAAUAUUUAUAUUUAUUUUUUUGCAUUCCAUCUUUAUAAGUCAUAUAAUUUCUGGGAAAGUCAUACCUUUAAAAGGAGUGGUCAGGCAAAGAACAUGACGAAAGAACAUCAGACAGACCUAUGAUAGUUGCAUUGAUUCUUUGUUUUUGUUUUCCAUUAACAUAUCCAGUCAUCACAUUACAGGAAACAAGGAAGAGAAUCUUUUUAGGAUUAUUCAUUGCAAAAGUACCAGGAAAUAAAUUAAUUAAUUUAACAAAGAGUUCACUGUUUUCAAAAAAAUAUUUUUGAAGAAAAACAUUCCACACUGUAAAAAAAAAUGUAAUAGAACUAGAAGCUCCCAGUAUGUGUGGUUAUACUGUAUGUGAAACUAAUAGCAGAAUUAACACACACACACAAAUUAAAUUAGCACUAUAGCAGUUCCUAAUUCUGAGGCUUGUACAA